rnacentral:rRNA from 1 species
CCCUUAGAGUUUGAUCCUGGCUCAGAUUGAACGCUGGCGGCGUGCCUAACACAUGCAAGUCGAGCGGCAGCGCGGGAGCAAUCCUGGCGGCGAGCGGCGGACGGGUGAGCAAUAUUUGGGAAUCUGCCUAUUAGUGGGGGGCAACCCGGGGAAACUCGGGCUAAUACCGCAUACGCACUACGGUGGAAAGCCGGGGACCGCAAGGCCUGGCGCUAAUAGAUGAGCCCAAAUCGGAUUAGCUAGUUGGUGAGGUAAUGGCUCACCAAGGCUACGAUCCGUAGCUGGUCUGAGAGGACGACCAGCCACACCGGAACUGAGACACGGUCCGGACUCCUACGGGAGGCAGCAGUGGGGAAUAUUGGACAAUGGGCGAAAGCCUGAUCCAGCGACGCCGCGUGGGUGAAGAAGGCCUGCGGGUUGUAAAGCCCUUUCGGUGGGGAAGAAAAGCCUCGACCUAACACGUCGGGGUCUUGACGUAACCCAAGAAAGAAGCACCGGCUAACUCUGUGCCAGCAGCCGCGGUAAUACAGAGGGUGCGAGCGUUAAUCGGAAUUACUGGGCGUAAAGCGCGCGUAGGCGGCUUUGCAAGUCGAGUGUGAAAUCCCCAGGCUUAACCUGGGAACUGCAUUCGAGACUGCAUCGCUAGAGUAUGGGAGAAGGGAAGUGGAAUU